GAUCGGUGCUUGCACCAAGAUUGAACAUGCCGACGAGUGGCGGACGGGUGAGUAACACGUGGGUAACCUGCCCUUAAGUGGGGGAUAACAUUUGGAAACAGAUGCUAAUACCGCAUAGAUCCAAGAACCGCAUGGUUCUUGGCUGAAAGAUGGCGUAAGCUAUCGCUUUUGGAUGGACCCGCGGCGUAUUAGCUAGUUGGUGAGGUAAUGGCUCACCAAGGCGAUGAUACGUAGCCGAACUGAGAGGUUGAUCGGCCACAUUGGGACUGAGACACGGCCCAAACUCCUACGGGAGGCAGCAGUAGGGAAUCUUCCACAAUGGACGCAAGUCUGAUGGAGCAACGCCGCGUGAGUGAAGAAGGCUUUCGGGUCGUAAAACUCUGUUGUUGGAGAAGAAUGGUCGGCAGAGUAACUGUUGUCGGCGUGACGGUAUCCAACCAGAAAGCCACGGCUAACUACGUGCCAGCAGCCGCGGUAAUACGUAGGUGGCAAGCGUUAUCCGGAUUUAUUGGGCGUAAAGCGAGCGCAGGCGGUUUUUUAAGUCUGAUGUGAAAGCCCUCGGCUUAACCGAGGAAGCGCAUCGGAAACUGGGAAACUUGAGUGCAGAAGAGGACAGUGGAACUCCAUGUGUAGCGGUGAAAUGCGUAGAUAUAUGGAAGAACACCAGUGGCGAAGGCGGCUGUCUGGUCUGUAACUGACGCUGAGGCUCGAAAGCAUGGGUAGCGAACAGGAUU
rnacentral:rRNA from 1 species